GGGAGAAUAGUUUAAUUGGUAAAAUAGUGGUCUCCAAAACCAUUGCUCAAGGUUCAAAUCCUUGUUCUCUUG
rnacentral:tRNA from 1 species